UGGUAACACUAGAAAGGUAAAUAGCAGCUUUGCUAUUCCUUAGGCCUAGUGGUCUGAAGGAUGGAAUACUUCUGGCCUUGGGUGGAGACAGGACAUUCAGACAGACAGAUGAUACGAUCCCCAGCAGAAGAGCUGAGGGAACUGGCUGGAAUAUGAUUGCAGACCACAGAGGAGCCCAGCCAAUGACAGUGGCAGUUGAUGAACACAAGCAAUGCAGCUUGUUGAACCUCAGUGUCGGAGCCUGCAUGUGCAUGCCACUCAGAGAACAGCCUGCGAUGACAGGGAGACAGGAAUAAACAUCUACUCACCUAAGAAGGGUAUUGAUGACAGAUGACAGAAGAAAUGAUUCCACUCAAGUCUACUGUGGUGAACCACUGAAUUGAGCAUGGUUUUAUGAAAGAUGGAUAGGAGAGAAUGCAGAGUUGGUGUCCGCCUGUCUUAGUCACUGUCCUGUUGCUAUGAAGAGACACUAUGGCCAAG